rnacentral:rRNA from 1 species
AUACGUAGGGGGCGAGCGUUGUCCGGAACGAUUGGGCGUAAAGGGCGCGUAGGCGGCCCGGUAAGUCUGGAGUGAAAGUCCUGCUUUUAAGGUGGGAAUUGCUUUGGAUACUGUCGGGCUUGAGUGCAGGAGAGGUAAGUGGAAUUCCCAGUGUAGCGGUGAAAUGCGUAGAGAUUGGGAGGAACACCAGUGGCGAAGGCGACUUACUGGACUGUAACUGACGCUGAGGCGCGAAAGUGUGGGGAGCAAACAGGAUUAGAUACCCUGGUAGUCCACACUGUAAACGAUGAAUGCUAGGUGUAGGGGGUAUCGACCCCUUCUGUGCCGCAGUUAACACAAUAAGCAUUCCGCCUGGGGAGUACGGCCGCAAGGUUGAAACUCAAAUGAAUUGACGGGG